GUAGGGUGCGAGCGUUAAUCGGAAUUACUGGGCGUAAAGCGUGCGCAGGCGGUUGUGCAAGACAGAUGUGAAAUCCCCGGGCUCAACCUGGGAAUUGCAUUUGUGACUGCACGGCUAGAGUGUGUCAGAGGGGGUAGAAUUCCACGUGUAGCAGUGAAAUGCGUAGAGAUGUGGAGGAAUACCGAUGGCGAAGGCAGCCCCCUGGGAUAACACUGACGCUCAUGCACGAAAGCGUGGGGAGCAAACAGGAUUAGAUACCCUGGUAGUCCCACGCCCCUAAACGAUGUCAACUAGUUGUCGGGUCUUAAUUGACUUGGUAACGCAGCUAACUCGUGAAGUUGACCGCCUGGGGAGUACGGUCGCAAGAUUAA
rnacentral:rRNA from 1 species